GGAAACCUCUAAAAGUUUCAAGACUCCGGCCCUCGAGGACCGGAGUUGGCCACCCCUGGGCUAAAGGAAUGGCUUUUUUGAGGAGUCUGUUGACAAGCUGGGCUGAUGUAGGAGAAAGGAAAUCAAUGCAGCUAUGAUGGGCAGCAGACUCCCGCAUAUCUGCUUUUGACCUGAGCUCUGCUAUAGGUAACAUGGUUGAGCCAAUACAUUCUCCACCUACACCAAAACUAUACUACUGAAAUGCUACAGU